UACGUAGGCAGCAAGCGUUGUUCGGAGUUACUGGGCGUAAAGGGUGCGUAGGCGGCCCUGUAAGUAUGGUGUGAAAUCUCCCGGCUUAACUGGGAGGGUGCGCUAUAGACUGCGGGGCUCGAGUGUGGGAGAGGAAAGUGGAAUUCCUGGUGUAGCGGUGAAAUGCGUAGAUAUCAGGAGGAACACCGGUGGUGUAAACGGCUUUCUGGACCAUAACUGACGCUGAGACGCGAAAGCGUGGGGAGCGAACAGG
rnacentral:rRNA from 1 species